UGACCGCCCUCAGCCCCUCUGGACCCUGGGCAAAGAGUGAACAGCAGAGCAAGAAACACUUCAAAACAGCUGUGUUGGCCAGACAGCACAGUACCGAGGCCUGUGGGUGAGGGACAGAAUCCCUGACUGCUUCAAACCACCCUCCAUGAGGAAAAACUUGACCAGAACAUGACCUCUUCACCUUGAGGAAAUCCUGUCCACAUGUCGCCUGAGAAUGAAGGUGAUGCUGAUGGUGAGACUAUCCAUGCCCAGCAGCGUGGCUGAAAAGACCAGUGAGAGACCACAGACGAUUCCCCAUUGUGUGCAUGAGAAGAGACACACUUGCUGUGUAGCCAUAUUUACCAUCUGCUGGGUCUGUCUCUUUUCAAAUCUGCCUCACAUCCUUCAUAUCUUUGUGAAAGAAACCCAAUCACUGCCUACUAGCUGGUCUGCCUGCUGUAAUAAUUUCUCCAAAAUCCACCAUGCUAUGAUGCUACUUGAGCUAUAAUAAU